rnacentral:misc_RNA from 1 species
AACCAUAGAAACCUGCGGAGUACCUGCGGAGGGAUCAUUACAGAGAACUUGCCCUUUGGGGUAGAUCUCCCACCCCAUUGCAUACAAUACCGUGUUGCUUUGGCAGGCCCGUCUUCGUCUAGACCGCCGGCUUUGGCUGGUCCGUGCCUGCCAGAGGAUUGAAAAAUCCAUGUUUUCUGUUUUCUGAGUCUGUAUUUGAAUAGUUAAAACUUUUAACAACGGAUCUCAGAUCGGAAGAGC